CCGAAAUGGCAGCAACAAUUAACCAAACAGGGGUGAGCAUCCCCGAAAUGGCCAGUUCAGCACAAGAACAUUCUUCUGAGAUUGAAAGAGGUCCACACAUCAUCAACCAAACGAGUGGAUUUCAAGAAGGUCAAGACCACAUCAACCUGUGUAAACAAGCAACCGGAUUUCUCCUUCAAGCCAGAGAAACCCAGCGCCUAACACAAAGAGCUGUUAACCAGAUGGUGAAUGGAGUCCAGCAAUACCAGGCUUCACUGUUGGAGCACCUGAAACAUCAAAUGAGUAGUGUGUUCGAGAGACAUUCUGGGGACCUGAAUCAACUGAAGAGUGAAGUAAUGAGCAUAUUUGACCAGUUUGAUGACCCUUUCAACCAAAUUUCCACAACAUACUUGCAGAAUAAGACAAUCAAAGAACUCCUUAAACCAGUAGAAGCAGAGAUAGUCACCCUCAAAAAUGUGGCAUGCUAUGUUAAAAGUGGUGACCAAAGAGCACUUACUAUUAAACACAAAAUCUUUUAUUAUAUUCCAUUGCUAAAAAGUUUGGAGCAACUCCUGCUGCAUCCACAAAUUCUUCAAAUAAUUGAACAAGGGUCACAACCAUGCGAGGCUGGAUUUUUUGGCGAUUUCAUUGAUGGAGAAAUCUUUAAGUCACACCCACUGUUUUUGAAAUUUCCCACGGCAUUGCAAUUAGUUCUAUAUACAGAUGAAAUUGAAUUGUG